rnacentral:misc_RNA from 1 species
UUAAGUUCAGCGGGUAGUCCUACCUGAUUUGAGGUCACAUUAAUGAAAAUUUGUCCAAGUCAAUGGACUGUUAGAAGCUGAACUGACUGACGUCAAUAGCGUAGAUAUUUUAUCACACCAAUGAACGGUCAACAAAUUGUUCCGCUAAUGCAUUUCAGGGGAGCUGACUUCAUAAGACACCAGCAAAACCCCCACCAUCC